UCAAAAAAAAUUUACAAAUUGAAUUUAAGCCCAAAUAAUACUGAUUAUAUUGGCCCAAAUAACCAAAUGAUAGCCCAAUAAUAAUUAGCCCAAAUAACCAAAUAAUAACCCAAAUAUAGUGUAUUAGUUUGAAUGGGCGGCAGGGAUAUCAAAGGUCGAGAGUCGAGACCUGCUGUCAUCGAACAAGAUUACACGAACAAGUUGCAGAGUGCAGACCUGCUGUCGACGUCCACUCGUCCAAAAUUGUCAUCGCACUUGAUGUCAUCGAACAAGAUUCACAAGAACAAGAUUCACACGAACAGAAUUGUCUCACGAACUUGCUGUCAUCGGCUCAUCUGAUCGUGGAUUCGCAGGAGGUUUGAUACUUUGAUUAGUUUUAUGCUGUCUUCGGCUCAUCUGAUCACGGAUUCGCAGAAGAACAUCAUCUUCGAACAGAAUUGGCAGCAGCACAUCGAGUCAUCGAACAGAGUCGAACAGAAGAUUAGUUUAUUAUUGGUUAGUUUGAUUAGUUUUAUUCUUGUUACUUGUUUUUAUUGGCUGAUUAUUGGUUGUUAGUUUGUUUGUUAAUUGAUUGUUUGAAUUCUUUGAAGUGAUUAGUGAUAACGAAACCAAAAUCCAAAAAACAAGCUUUAAUUGGGAACUUUUUCAAAAGAAAAUACGAAGAAAUUAAUGAUGAUGAUACAAUUCCGAAUGAAACAACUCCUCCGAAUGUUGACGUUGAUUCAAGUCCGAAUGUUGAUAAUGAUAAUAUCCAAGCAAAUGAUGACGUUGAUGCAAGUCCGAAUGUUGAUAAUGAUAAUAUCCAAGCAAAUCAUGACGUUGAUGCAAGUCCGAAUGUUGAUAAUGAUAAUCCUACAACUUCAAUUCCAACAACACGAGGUAUUAUUGAUUUGAAUGAUCUUCCUUCGGAUCCAUUUGAUAGGCCACCUAUUGCUAGUUAUCACCCAAAUUAAAUAGAUGACAUAAGGUCAUAUCUUGUUAAAGGGGCUUUUCAACCGCGUAGUCAUAAGUUUCCUUUUAGAGACUUUUAUGGAAAAAAAAAAGACGUUUUGUUGUUAGUUGGUUUAAUGAUUGUAGUUGGUUAGAGUAUAGCAUCAAAAUAGACAAAGUAUAUUGUUACUUGUUUAAAGAAGAUGUUGGUAAUCAAGGGGGAAGAGAUACGUGGUCUUCUAGUUCUAAA